AGUUAUGGACAGGGUCGAUCUGAAUGUCCUGGCCGACGCCUUUGUGCACAGGAGGCAUUUCACCUUGGGCGUUGUCGGUAUCUGUGGCUGGGACGGCCUUUGUGGGGUACAGUCGGGUCAGGGUCCACGGCUCACUUUUCCGCACCCACACAGCGGGCACUGAGCGUGGCCUGCGGAUCCGGCUUCUGCCUGCGUGUGACCAGGUGAUGUGUGCGAGGCCUCGGAACCGCUCUCCCCAGCACAGAACGCUCUGCCGUCAGAAAAUGGCCAAGAAUCCGGAAUUCCGCAGAAGCAGAGUGGGGAGCGGGGAGAUGGGCGUAGAAACACGUGUUCGCAGCCAAGAGCACACAGCUGUUUCCUCUUGUGGCUUCCCCAGCCUCAGAUGAUUUGUUUUAUUAGAGGCGAGUUGUGUUCGCUACCGACUGACGGCGCUGGCGGCCCCGGGAGGCAGAUGACCGACAGCGCAUCGCGGCGCUGACCCAGCGCCACGUGUGUGCCUGACGUUCGCCCACAGCUGUCGCUUGAUGCCCGUGCCCUGAAUGCCCUCGUUGGAUUCACACGGAAGCCCUGCAGGCAGUGUGCACGCCCUUGCUAAUUUUACCUGGUGAAUUUACGAGGUGAUGUUGUUAUCCACCCAUUUCGCAGAUGAAAAACUGAGGCUCAGAGAAGCCCCCGCGACCCAGGCCCGGGGUUUCAGCUCUGCAACUCCGCUUUGGACGUGCCUGAUCCAGGAGAGACAACCAACCGGAGACACCAUGUUCAGAGGCUACCUGGAGCCCUGUGGCCAGUGCAACCAGGCUUCCAGCAAUGAGCCGGACAAUCAGAACUUCUCUCUGUCACGGGGCUGGGACUCAGGAACUUGAAGAAUCACUACCUGGCCUGUCUGUACCAUAGCCUCGUCUCUCCAGGGAGGAGGGCACCACUGACCAUCUCUGUUUGCCACAGAAUUAAGAGGAUGAGGACCGUUUUUGCCAGGGCUGUCUCCGGUUUUGGCUGGAGAAGAAGAAAACUUCCUUCUCGAGAAGCCGACAGCCACCAGCCAGGGCAGAGCCUGCCUGCCAGCAGCCUGCAGGGCCCCCCCCCCCCACCAUGCCUGAGGGCUUUCUAGACCCUGCAGCUCCUCUUUGGGGGCUGGCUUCCCCCCCGCCUCUGGGGUCCCCAUCACCCUCUGCAAUUUGUGCUUUGUCUCCUACCACUUGUGACUCCACGUUCCCUCCCCCGGGUCUGUGCUCCACGGUCCCCAUGCCCGCGGGCCACCCUUCCCUCUGCCCAGUGAGCUCCUCAGCAUCCUGCCAGGCUCCUGCGGAGACCUUCGGACUCGCAUCAGCAGGCAGCGGGGAGCAGGGGGAGGGUGUGGGCCCAGGAGAGGGAGGCGAUAGAAGUCAGAACCACCCCUGCUGGCCCCUCACGUGAUGACUCUUGGGGGGUGCUGGUCUGCCCCCUCCCUGUCGGGCCCCCACACCAGAGAGACCACCUCUGCUCUCCCCCCGGGCUGGGCCCUCCCAGAGUUCCAAGGCCCGGGACCUGCUCCUCACACGGCCUCUGGCUCUCUGCUCGGCCACAGUUUUUCCAUGGCCCCGGCAGCGACUCAUGCCAUUGGGCGCCGAAAGCCUCCAUGACCUUCAAGUGAACGUUCCCAUCUUAGCCCGAGACGUCCCAUUAUCUUCACUCUUUUAGCUUUACAUGCUUUUCAGGGGUUGCUUGCCCUGGUGCCUCCCUCGUGUCCUACUGGGCUGUCCUCGUUUUCUCCAUCUGGAAAACAGGCAAGUGCUGAUGCCCCCUGCCAGGCUCCGUGCAGGGCUCACUUCGAGGACUCACCCCGGCCUGGUCUCACGUACCUCGGGGUUAUCGCUUUCUGAGCUCUGACCUCACCAAUCAGAGGGCUGGAACCCACCACCUUCAAAUGGAAACGGACCUUGGGGUUUGGACACUCAGGGCCAGUGCAGUCGAGGGCCCCCCUAGGGUCACCCAGCUGCCGGGCAGAGGGACGGCACAGUCAAGCUUCCUGCUGGAGGCCGUUCGGUGAGAGCUGGGCUGCUCUCCCAGGCCACCGGGAGACUUUUGGGAGGACAGCAUCCUGGUUGGAGACUUUGGGGAGGGCAGCAUCUGUUAGUGCAGACUCCGGUGGGGUCCGUCUGCGGGGUCCCGGUCCCUAUGGCCCUCCCUGUGGGCCUCCCUGUAAGCUCCGUACCCCUGGGCUUGCCCUGCAGCCGUACCCCAGUCUCUUCCAGCCGGAGGGAGCCAGGAGGGGCUGCCGUGGGCCCAUCUGAUGAUGAGCUGUAUGGAGGGCGGGCUUGGUGAGUCAAGUGGCAGGGUCCCCACACCCUUCCUACGCACCCUAUUUACUCACCCAUCACUUGUGCAUUCCAGCAGGCAUAAGGCAGACGGUCCUUGUCUCCCUGAAGUGAACAACUCUGGUCGGUGUGACGAAUCUGGAGGCCAGACGAGACUGUCACUGCAGCUGGAUCCGUGUGACACCUCCCUGUCCUGUCCGUGUCCCAGCCCCAUCACUGUACAUCCAGGGCCCCCCCACAGCGAAGGCUCGGUCCCCACCUGCCCCUCCGGCCAGCCUUAGCAUGUGGGGGUCGGGGCUAAAACAGAAGCCUGAACCCCGAGUCGGGGUCAU